UUUUAUUUUUGUUAUAAAUCGGGGUAAUCAAAAACAAAAUUUAUUGAAAAAUUGUGUAUGAAUGACAAUUUUUUUGUUGAUUAUUUUCGUGUAAUAAUGAAGAGUAUCUUUUUUCUUAAAGUCCUCUAUACUAUAUGUUUUUAAUGUCAGGAAAAAAUUGUGAGUACAUUAUAUUGCACCGUUGGUAAAAAGGCAAACACAAUUUGAAGUGGAAAAGCCAGGAAAACGUGUCCGUAUACAAAUAACAGAUUACAUUAUUUGAUGCUAACAUUGCCAGUGUGGUUACGAAUAAUUGAAGUUCUUUGUUUGCAUUAUUACACUCCGAUGCAAAUCUAAGAAAGUAUUACAAGAUUGUGAACUUUAAAUUUCCAAGUGGCAACACACAUAACAAGCUUGUUAAUUAACAAGCUUAUUCAAUAGAAUGAUCUAGUUAAGAAAAUUACUGGCCGAUUACUACUUUUAGACCAGUAUUUUGUAAGAUGUUCUCAUUUCUAUAACUAGGUGGGAUGAAAAGUACGGUUGGUAAAUGACUAGCGAUAAAACAAGCAACACCCACUCUUCACCUUCAUUCAAUACUUUAAAUUGUUAAAAACUACUGGAAUAGUAGUCUAAAAAAAAAAUUUUAGCAUCUUUUAAUGUCAAUCCAAUAAGUACGUAUUGUAUGUUAUUGGGAAAGAAAAAAAAAUCCUAUCUACUAAUGGCUUAUGAUUAUUUACAGUUUCAAUUGCAUGACUGGAAUAACAAUUAAAAUAAUGAAGGUUAGAAUAAUUAAAUAAAGAAAGUUACCUUACUUUUCUUUUUGAUAAAUCGAUACUUACAAUUUUGAUACACUUUUAUGAUAGAGAUUACGAAUUAUAUAACUA